UCACCGGAUAAAGCGCAUCCGGCCCUUGAAUAACGCGUGCGGUCAGGAAUACUGUACCAAGCGACUUUCAAGAGGAAAUAUGUAGAAAAUAUAUUGGAUUUCUCACGGGAUUAUGGAACAAGGUGUGGUGCCCAUCGCCCCAUGGAAAAGGCUAUAGAAGGAAAAUAUUUAUAAGUCGCUUGUAGGGACGAAACGUGAAAGCUCUUGUUGAAAAAUUGGUAGAACGACGUAAAAUUAUCAAAUAUGAAAGUAUACUCGAGAUUAGAAAAAAGAAAAAAAAAAAAACAGAGAAGAAAGUAUCAAAUUUCUGCGGUGAAGGUAAACGAUUUGUAAGACUUCAUUAAUCGAUUACGGAGAAUACCGCACAACGGAUUACCUUUCAGAGAUGUAUGAAGCAGAAAGCUUCGGUCAGGCUGAAGAAUCAGUACAAAGCUUCAACGUUACGCAAAACUACGCGUGCUUUAUCGAUUAAUUAAAAUGUCGAAUUUGGUAUAUUUAGAUAAGAGUAAUAAAGUUUGAGUAUUUUAAGUCGUUA